rnacentral:rRNA from 1 species
UACGGGGGGUGCAAGCGUUGUUCGGAAUCAUUGGGCGUAAAGGGCGUGUAGGCGGCUGGGUAAGUCAGAUGUGAAAGCCCUGGGCUUAACUCAGGAAGUGCAUUUGAAACUGUCCAGCUUGAGUAGGGGAGAGGAAGGUGGAAUUCCUGGUGUAGAGGUGAAAUUCGUAGAUAUCAGGAGGAACACCGGUGGCGAAGGCGACCUUCUGGCCCUAUACUGACGCUGAGACGCGAAAGCGUGGGUAG